AGAUUGAACGCUGGCGGCAUGCCUUACACAUGCAAGUCGAACGGCAGCACGGGAGCAAUCCUGGUGGCGAGUGGCGAACGGGUGAGUAAUACAUCGGAACGUGCCCAGUAGUGGGGGAUAGCCCGGCGAAAGCCGGAUUAAUACCGCAUACGACCUACGGGUGAGAGCGGGGGAUCGCAAGACCUCGCGCUAUCGGAGCGGCCGAUGUCAGAUUAGCUUGGUUGGACGGGUAAAAGCCCACCAAGGCGACGAUCUGUAGCUGGUCUGAGAGGACGACCAGCCACACGUGGGACUGAGACACGGCCCAGACUCCGUACGGGAGGCAGCGAGGUGGGUAAUUUUGGACAAGUGGGCGCAAGCCUAGACUCCGAGCCAGUCGCCCGUCGGUCGGACGGG
rnacentral:rRNA from 1 species